rnacentral:rRNA from 1 species
UGGGGAAUAUUGCGCAAUGGGGGGAACCCUGACGCAGCCAUGCCGCGUGAAUGAAGAAGGCCUUCGGGUUGUAAAGUUCUUUCGGUAUUGAGGAAGGUUGAUGUGUUAAUAGCACAUCAAAUUGACGUUAAAUACAGAAGAAGCACCGGCUAACUCCGUGCCAGCAGCCGCGGUAAUACGGAGGGUGCGAGCGUUAAUCGGAAUAACUGGGCGUAAAGGGCACGCAGGCGAUUAUUUAAGUGAGGUGUGAAAGCCCUGGGCUUAACCUAGGAAUUGCAUUUCAGACUGGGUAACUAGAGUACUUUAGGGAGGGGUAGAAUUCCACGUGUAGCGGUGAAAUGCGUAGAGAUGUGGAGGAAUACCGAAGGCGAAGGCAGCCCCUUGGGAAUGUACUGACGCUCAUGUGCGAAAGCGUGGGGAGCAAACAGGAUUAGAUACCCUGGUAGUCCACGCUGUAAACGCUGUCGAUUUGGGGGUUGGGGUUUAACUCUGGCGCCCGUAGCUAACGUGAUAAAUCGACCGCCUGGGGAGUACGGCCGCAAGGUUA